AUAAAUGCGAUGAUGAGAAGAGUAGAUAAGAUCCAUUCUUUCUAGAGAGCUCCGUUUGGUGGGAAGGAGCAAGAAUGAUUUAUUGAAACAAGCCUCUGAGUAUCAUAUCGGAACCUCGUGGGGAUGGUAUGACGGGAGCUCCCGUUAUAGAGCUAAGGUAUAGAAUGAUUGUACUUGAUAAGAUUAGUAUGGCGACAUAUUAAUAAACUGGGGUGGCACCACGAUUAUAAAAUCUCGUCCCCAAG
rnacentral:ncRNA from 1 species